GGUUCCGUAGUGUAGUUGUUAUCACGUUCGCUUCACACGCGAAUGGUCUCCGGUACGAUUCCGGAGGGAGCUA